rnacentral:lncRNA from 1 species
AUGAAAGCUAAAAUUGAACAAAGUUUUAAAAAACUUGAAAACCCUUUCACCUCAUUGAAUUCUGAAACAAAACAUAACAAGUACUUUCAACAAAAAUGGAAAACAGUUGAACCUGUCGAAAAAGUACUUUGUGUCAGAUUCGAAAAUAGAAGAAACAGAUGUACUGGAACUUAUGAUCAGGUUGUUGUAACUGACAAAUUUGCCUAUGUCCCAAUUCUAGAAACACUGCAGUCUAUUCUCAGAAAUCCAGACUUUGCAAAUAUGUUAACACCUACCCACAUUCCCAAAGAUGGUGUAUAUUUUGAUUUACAAGAUGGGUUGUAUAUGAAGAGACAUCCCCUUUUUGCACUGCAAAUUCAAUUAUUUUAUGAUGAUUUUGAGACUGUGAAUCCACUGGGAUUCCCACCAAAAUUAAAUUCGUCUUUAGUCAAUAUACAUUUGUGUGCACUUUUUAAUGCACAGGACAUUAAAACCUAUGGGUUUGACACCAUAUCUGAGCCAAUCGUCAGUGACUUGAAGGUGCUUGAAACUGGUGGGAUUACAGCUCCCAUGUUCAAAAGUCCUGUUCUUGGUAGCAUUGUGCAAGUCACAGGUGAUAAUCUUGGUAAACAUGGACUGUUUGGGUUUGUGGAAUCAUUCAGUGCUCAGAACUGCUGUGGUUUUUGUAUCAUAGAGAAAGGUGAUUUUCAAACUGUGUUCUGUGAAGAUGAAGAAAGUGUGAUAUUACGAACAAAAUACAUGCAUGCAGAACAUUGCUCUACUAUACAGACAAAUCCACAACUACCUCAUGUAUAUGGUGUGAAGCGUUCAUGUCUGUUGAACAGACUGCAGUUUUUCAACACAGCUAAUAAUUUCUCAGUUGAUAUCAUGCAUGACAUUUUAGAAGGAGUUGCACAGUUUGAGGUCAAACAUCUGUUGGAGUAUGUGCUGCUGAACUUUUUAACUGCUAAAGAAUUGGCUGGUAGAAUAGAGUCAUUUAACUAUGGCCACACUGAGAGGCGAAAUCGUCCUCCUGCAGUUAAGUUAUUUGAUGGAAGAAAUGAUUUGGGCCUGAAUGCUAUACAGUCCUGGUGUUUGUUGCGCAACAUGCCAUUGAUAUUUGGUGAUCCAUGGAGCCUGUCAUGGCAGCUCCUAUCAUUGUUGUAG